rnacentral:rRNA from 1 species
UACAGAGGGUGCGAGCGUUGUCCGGAAUCACUGGGCGUAAAGGGCGCGUAGGUGGCGCUCCAAGUCUGUGGUGAAAGCUCGACGCUCAACGUCGAGUCGGCCAUAGAGACUGGAGGGCUCGAGCACUGUAGGGGCAGAUGGAAUUCCGGGUGUAGCGGUGGAAUGCGUAGAGAUCCGGAAGAACACCGGUGGUGAAGGCGGUCUGCUGGGCAGUUGCUGACACUGAGGCGCGACAGCGUGGGGAGCAAACAGG